rnacentral:rRNA from 2 species
AACGAACGCUGGCGGCAGGCUUAACACAUGCAAGUCGAACGACAUAGUGGCAGACGGGUGAGUAACGCGUGGGAACGUGCCCUUUACUACGGAAUAGCUUCUGGAAACGGAAGGUAAUACCGUAUACGCCCUUCGGGGGAAAGAUUUAUCGGUGAAGGAUCGGCCCGCGUUAGAUUAGAUAGUUGGUGGGGUAAUGGCCUACCAAGUCUACGAUCUAUAGCUGGUCUGAGAGGAUGAUCAGCCACACUGGGACUGAGACACGGCCCAGACUCCUACGGGAGGCAGCAGUGGGGAAUCUUGCACAAUGGGCGAAAGCCUGAUGCAGCCAUGCCGCGUGAAUGAUGAAGGCCUUAGGGUUGUAAAAUUCUUUCGCCAGGGAUGAUAAUGACAGUACCUGGUAAAGAAGCCCCGGCUAACUUCGUGCCAGCAGCCGCGGUAAUACGAAGGGGGCUAGCGUUGUUCGGAAUUACUGGGCGUAAAGCGCGCGUAGGCGGGCUGUUAAGUCAGAUGUGAAAGCCCGGGGCUCAACCCCGGAACUGCAUUUGAAACUAGCAGCCUAGAGACCAGGAGAGGUUAGCGGAAUACCGAGUGUAGAGGUGAAAUUCGUAGAUAUUCGGUGGAACACCAGUGGCGAAGGCGGCUAACUGGACUGGUACUGACGCUGAGGCGCGAAAGUGUGGGGGAGCAAACAGGAUUAGAUACCCUGGUAGUCCACACCGUAAACGAUGAAUGCUAGUUGUCUGCGCGCAUGCGUGCAGGUGACGCAGCUAACGCAUUAAGCAUUCCGCCUGGGGGAGUACGGCCGCAAGGUUAAAACUCAAAGAAAUUGACGGGGGCCCGCACAAGCGGUGGAGCAUGUGGUUUAAUUCGAAGCAACGCGCAGAACCUUACCCGCGUUUGACAUGCCCUGUUUGGUUACCAGAGAUGGUUUCCUUCAUUUAGUUGGCAGGUGCACAGGUGCUGCAUGGCUGUCGUCAGCUCGUGUCGUGAGAUGUUGGGUUAAGUCCCGCAACGAGCGCAACCCUUAUCCUUAGUUGCCAGCACGUCUGGGUGGGCACUCUAAGGAAACUGCCGGUGCUAAGCCGGAGGAAGGCGGGGAUGACGUCAAGUCCUCAUGGCCCUUACACGCGGGGCUACACACGUGCUACAAUGGCAGUGACAAUGGGAUAAUCCCCAAAAGCUGUCUCAGUUCAGAUUGUCCUCUGCAACUCGAGGGCAUGAAGUUGGAAUCGCUAGUAAUCGUGGAUCAGCAUGCCACGGUGAAUACGUUCCCGGGCCUUGUACACACCGCCCGUCACAUCAUGGGAGUUGGUUCUACCCGAAGACUGUGCGCUAACUUCGGAGGCAGCAGGCCACGGUAGGAUCAGCGACUGGGAUGA